GCCCGGUUCUCCCGAGGGCCGCCAUGUUGGAUCACAAUCUCCUCGUCCUCAGGAGAGGUCACCUGGAGGCAGGAGGGGGGGCGGCGGGAGCAGAGGUUAUCGAGAGGUGGGUGUGGCUAAUAUCUGACCAUGGUGAAGUCGUGUGCUGCCAUCUCCUGCACCAGUCCAUUUUGGAAUAUUUCCUUUCAUAAGUUUUCCAAGCAGUCCAAGGACAGCACACUGAGAGAUCAAUGGAUACAGGCCAUCAGCAGAGAAGUGGUGAGGACCAAGAGGAGAUGAUCAUAAUUAUGUCUGCAGCAACCAUUUCAGGGAGGAGGACUUCAUCCUCUCAAAACAUGCUCAACACAAGCUUCUCAGGCCAGGAGCUGUACCAUCCCUCAGUUU